UUGAGCCGUCACACGGAAUCG
rnacentral:snRNA from 1 species